AACGAACGCUGGCGGCAGGCUUAACACAUGCAAGUCGAACGCCCCGCAAGGGGAGUGGCAGACGGGUGAGUAACGCGUGGGAAUCUACCCAUCCCUACGGAACAACUCCGGGAAACUGGAGCUAAUACCGUAUACGCCCUUAGGGGGCAAGAUUUAUCGGGGAUGGAUGAGCCCGCGUUGGAUUAGCUAGUUGGUGGGGUAAAGGUCUACCAAGGCGACGAUCCAUAGCUGGUCUGAGAGGAUGAUCAGCCACAUUGGGACUGAGACACGGCCCAAACUCCUACGGGAGGCAGCAGUGGGGAAUAUUGGACAAUGGGCGCAAGCCUGAUCCAGCCAUGCCGCGUGAGUGAUGAAGGCCUUAGGGUUGUAAAGCUCUAUCACCGAUGAAGAUAAUGACGGUAGUCGGAGAAGAAGCCCCGGCUAACUUCGUGCCAGCAGCCGCCGUAACAC
rnacentral:rRNA from 1 species